AAAUUAUGAAACAGAUGAAAAACACAUGAAUGGACUGUGUAAGAUGUGACGAUGUGACAAAGAUAAUGUCUACAGAUGGCUCUGGAGAAAGGAUUCCAGAAGCUCCUCGUAUUAUUGCUGUCGAAACAUCGUCAGUAGUAACAAACCUAGAUGAGUCCUCAAACAUGGAUGGAGGAGGGGAUGAUGAUGAUGGACCUUUGGCGAAAAGGAGACGGCUAGAGGACAGUGAACUCUGUGUGGAUCAGUCAAUAAAGCAAAUACUUUUUAACAUCAACAAAGCAAUCUGCAUGAGAUUGGAGACAAUUGAGAACAAAUUAGACACGUUAAGUCAAAGAUCUCGCACUGUAGAAGAGAAGGUGGAACAGCUACUAAUUCAAGCCAGACAGGCUCCAGGAGCAUCCCUGUCGCCCAACGCCACCGGCUCCAGGAGAGGGGCUGUCAUUGUUGGUCUUCCCCAGAAUGGAACACGGUCUGAUACAGAUGGUGAUGGCAGUGUGGAUGGAAGUGUUCAGAACCUUGGUCCUAAUGUCACCCUGAUCACACUCAAUACAGAAGAGGAUUACCCUAAUGGUGUGUGGCUUGGGGAGGAGUCUAACCCUGAAAUGAGGGUGAGAGUACCAAUAACACCAAGUGACCUUUUACAUGUGCACUCGAACUGCCGCACGCCUGAGAAGAUGGCACUGACAAUGCUAGAUUACCUGUUUGACCGGGAAACCCAGGCGUGUUCCAAUCUGUCCGGGAUGGGCAAACAUGGAAAGAAACAACUAGAUCCUCUUAUGAUUUACGGAAUCAGGUGUCAUCUUAUUCAUAGAUUUGGUAUAACAGAAAAUGAUUGGCACCGAAUAAAACAAAACAUUGACUCAAAGUGUCGCACUGCAUUCCGAAGAAAACAAAGAGGGAUGCCAUUGACGGUAAAAGCAUUUAGAGGAAAGGCGCCUCCAACUUAUGUAAAUAUUGGGUCACAUUUACCGGGAGAGCUAGGUUGUCAGAGCGAUGAGGAUUCAAUCAGUCACGAAGACUCUGAGUUACAUAUCCAUCAGGCUGAAGUGGACAGUAUCCAGCAAGCCGUGUCUACUAUGCAAGGGGAGGCAAUCCAGCAAGGAGAGAUACAAAUACUCCACGCCACUCCGGAACAAAUAUCCCAGCUACAGCAAGCUCAUCAUAUACAAAUACUCCAGGGAGAUCAAGUCAUAGGGCAAAUACAGCAAGGGGAUGUGGCAGCAUUAGGGGAUGGCAUCCAGGUUGCUACGGUAACGACAGACUCAGGAGAAGUUCUACACAUACAGCAGGCACCUGCAGUAGUGCCGGAAGUGACAGAGUAGUGGUUGGACUUACCUCCCUUGUUGUACAUAUUACCAUGGAAGGCAGCACAGUCUUCAUUGUUCAUUUGGCUGUUCAGCAUUCAGCUUCGGAGAGAACUAUUUUUUCCUUUGAGGGACUGUGUAACAAUUGGAAGAAUACAAAUUGUGCACUUUUGUUGUUGGAUCCUCCAGUUCAUCGUUUGGAAAGCAACUUUUCAAUAACUGAGUGAUGAGUUGGUGAAUCAGGUUGUCUGUGUCUGUGUCUGUGUCUGUGUCUGUGUGUGUGUGUGUGUGUGUGUGUGUGUCGCUCAGGCCUACUGGUGGACAACAGAAGACAAUAAUGUUUGGGAAUAGUACCGGCAUUACCAAGUUUGCUCUCACGCGGAAAGUCGUUUAAUAUAUAUGUUAAUCAUUUAAACAUGAAUCUUCACCUUGAACUUCUGUGAAAUUAUAUAAGAUGAACAUGAAAAGGGAAAGUUUUGAAAAAGCUUUGAGUCAUUAAAGUUUCAAUAAAUGAACUCAGAUUCAGUUAAACAUUUACCUUAUCUUCAGAAUACAGCUUGAAUAUCAGAUUGUGAUGGUAUGACAACUGUCAAUCCUAAAGACUUCUGUUGGCAUGCUAAUGGAACAUUGUUCAAACAUGUUUGCCUUGGAGGAGGUUUGCAGUCAACACUAUCCCUAUGACCAGUCCUUCCACAAAGUGAGUUUAAGGUUUUGACUGUUUUAAGUCAAUGUUAAAGGAAGGAGUUGUGAUAAGUCUGAGCACUCUGAUUUCAUUGUGGGAUGGGCCCUGGUCAAAGAGGGAUGAGGGAAUUGUUUACAGGUUCAUUCAACUUCGCACUCAUAAAUAUUCAGAGAUAAUCUUCACUUUUUAUGAUAUGGCUUGUUGAAAUCAAUUUCUUGUUCUCAUGACCAUUCAAACCUUGAAUUGCCCCACCCCUAAUUAUUCAUGUUUUCAAACACUAGAGAAACAGCUUUUAUCACUUCAGAUUUCAAGUUUUGCACCUGAAGCUGCAGGGUCGUGUGCAAAAGUGCUCAUAUAGUACACUAGAAUCAGGUUUACUUGUUAGAUUUGUAACUUAUUCAAAAACGUUUUAAAAACACAACACCUUUCUCCAUAUUCAAUUUUUAGAAAUCGAUGAGAACAAGAAUAUUGUUUUAACUAGCCUAAUUAACCCACGACACUUCACAUACUUUUGCCAUUUGAUAUUUUGUUGUUAUUUGAGCAUGUUGAGUGGGACAAAAAAGUGCCAAGUUUGCAAAGCUUUAUAAUAUUUUAUUUUAAAAUGUAUGGCCAUUAUUUAUAAAUUAAUUACGAAUACAUACUUGUUCAUAGGUGGUUUUGUUUCCUAUCAUCGAAUCAUCAUGAUUAGAGUCUGUUUUUCUUUAACGCUUUCAUUAAACUGACAUUGAUAUAAGCUCCUGUUUUCCAUACAAUUUAUUAAGCUAGCUUUUCCUUGUUUACCCAACAGUGUUUUGAAAGGUCUCUAUAAACUGCGCUCUUGGCCUUCUAAUCUCUUCCUUUUGACAUCUGUGUCAUGAAACGUUAUUAAACUGCAAGCCCAUUUAUGCUAUGUGUAAAACUGUAUGACAAGUUUAUGUUGCAUAUUCUGAAUCUUCUUAUACCGUCUUCAUCUAUGAAAAGUUACAUUCAAAAUAUACACUGGUUCAUAAGACUUCAUAACCAUGAGAUUUUCAUCAGUUUUGUACUUUUGAUACCUGUUCAUCUUCACAUGCUGUUACCAUGGUUACAGACA
rnacentral:misc_RNA from 1 species